rnacentral:rRNA from 1 species
GACGAACGCUGGCGGCGUGCCUAAUACAUGCAAGUAGAACGCUGAAGGAGGAGCUUGCUUCCCUGGACGAGUUGCGAACGGGUGAGUAACGCGUAGGUAACCUGCCCGUUAGCGGGGGAUAACUCUUGGAAACGAUAGCUAAUAUCGCAUAAGAGUAGUUGUUGCAUGACAUUUGCUUAAAAGGUGCAAUUGCAUCACUACCAGUUGGACCUGCGUUGUCUUAAGUAGUUGGUGGGAUAACGGCUCACCCAAGGGACGAUUCAUAGUCGACCUGAUGGGGGGGUCGGCCACACCGGGACUGAGGCCCGGCCCAAACCUCUUCGGGGGGCAGCCGUAGGGAAACUUCGGCAAUGGGCGGAAAUCUGACCGGGGCACGCCGCGUGAGUGGAGGAAGGUUUCGGAUCGUAAAGAUCUGUUGUAAGGGAAAAAAGAGAGUGGGAGUGGAAAGUUCACACUGUGACGGUAUCUUACCAGAAAGGGACGGCUAACUACGUG